rnacentral:rRNA from 1 species
GACGAACGCUGGCGGCGUGCUUAACACAUGCAAGUCGAGCGGAGCGGCGAACGGGUGAGUAACGCGUGAGUAACUGCCCACCUCUCUGGGAUAACGGGUGGAAACGGCUGCUAAUACAGGAUAGUGGGGGAUGACUCGCGUCCUAUCAGCUUGUGGGUGGGGUAGUGGCCUACCAAGGCGACGACGGGGAGCCGGCCUGAGAGGGCGACCGGCCACAUUUGGCUGGGUUACGUGCCGAACGCCUACGGGAGGAAGCAGUGGGGAAUAUUGCACAAUGGGGGAAACCCUGAUGCAGCAACGCGCGUGCGGGAUGACGGUCUUCGGGUUGUAAACCGCUUUCAGCCAUGACGCGGUAGUGGCAGAAGAAGCACCGGCUAACUACGUGCCAGCAGCCGCGGUAAUUC